ensembl:snoRNA SNORA48 small nucleolar RNA, H/ACA box 48
GGUCCCUGACCUGGGUGGAGUGGCACCUGGUCAGUGGUGCCAGCCUCAUAUCAGUCUGGGGCAAAGCAAUUCCUUGUUUAUCCCAGCUUGGCUUUUGGUUUGUGCCGGUGCCUGGUUCAUGCCCUGGACACAUGG